rnacentral:rRNA from 1 species
GACGAACGCUGGCGGCGUGCUUAACACAUGCAAGUCGAACGGAAAGGCCCUGCUUUUGUGGGGUGCUCGAGUGGCGAACGGGUGAGUAACACGUGAGUAACCUGCCCUUGACUUUGGGAUAACUUCAGGAAACUGGGGCUAAUACCGGAUAGGAGCUCCUGCUGCAUGGUGGGGGUUGGAAAGUUUCGGCGGUUGGGGAUGGACUCGCGGCUUAUCAGCUUGUUGGUGGGGUAGUGGCUUACCAAGGCUUUGACGGGUAGCCGGCCUGCGAGGGUGACCGGCCACAUUGGGACUGAGAUACGGCACAGACUCCUACGGGAGGCAGCAGUGGGGAAUAUUGCACAAUGGGCGGAAGCCUGAUGCAGCAACGCAGCGUGCGGGAUGACGGCCUUCGGGUUGUAAACCGCUUUCGCCUGUGACGAAGCGUGAGUGACGGUAAUGGGUAAAGAAGCACCGGCUAACUACGUG